UACGGAGGGGGCUAGCGUUGUUCGGAAUUACUGGGCGUAAAGCGCACGUAGGCGGCUUUGCAAGUUAGAGGUGAAAGCCUAGGGCUUAACCCUGGAAUUGCCUUUAAAACUGCAUCGCUAGAAUUGUGGAGAGGUGAGUGGAAUUCCGAGUGUAGAGGUGAAAUUCGUAGAUAUUCGGAAGAACACCAGUGGCGAAGGCGACUCACUGGACACAUAUUGACGCUGAGGUGCGAAAGCGUGGGGAGCAAACAGG
rnacentral:rRNA from 1 species